rnacentral:rRNA from 1 species
ACUCCUACGGGAGGCAGCAGUGGGGAAUAUUGCACAAUGGGCGCAAGCCUGAUGCAGCCAUGCCGCGUGUGUGAAGAAGGCCUUCGGGUUGUAAAGCACUUUCAGUCGUGAGGAAGGUAGUGNGGUUAAUAGCUGUUAUUAUUGACGUUAGCGACAGAAGAAGCACCGGCUAACUCCGUGCCAGCAGCCGGCGGUAAUACGGAGGGUGCGAGCGUUAAUCGGAAUUACUGGGCGUAAAGCGCAUGCAGGUGGUUUGUUAAGUCAGAUGUGAAAGCCCGGGGCUCAACCUCGGAAUUGCAUUUGAAACUGGCAGACUAGAGUACUGUAGAGGGGGGUAGAAUUUCAGGUGUAGCGGUGAAAUGCGUAGAGAUCUGAAGGAAUACCGGUGGCGAAGGCGGCCCCCUGGACAGAUACUGAGCACUCAGAUGCGAAAGCGUGGGGAGCAAACAGGAUUAGAUACCCUGGUAGCUA